GUUUCGUUCCUCCCCUUCCACCUGUGCACUCAUUGUAGACCACACUGCUGCCUAUCAGGCAUGUGCUUCCUGCACUUCCCCUGGCAUGAGGACCUGCCCCUUGGGCUGUUCUUGGGUGGUGUUGGCCUAUGUUCUCAUCAACCCCAAUGUAUGUGAUUGAAUGUAUGAUCUGGGCUCUUUGUAGACCCAUAAACCUUAAUACAACUUUCAACAACGGAUCUCUUGGCUCUCGCAUCGAUGAAGAACGCAGCGAAAUGCGAUAAGUAAUGUGAAUUGCAGAAUUCAGUGAAUCAUCGAAUCUUUGAACGCACCUUGCGCUCCUUGGUAUUCCGAGGAGCAUGCCUGUUUGAGUGUCAUUAAAUCCUCAACCCCAUCUUCCUUGUGGAUGAAUGGAGUUGGAUGUGGUAGCUGCUGGCUCAUCGUCAGCUCUUCUCAAAUGCAUUAGUAGAGCCACCCCAUGCAAGGCUGCAGCUUGGUAUUGAUAGUUGUCUUACCAGGCAGUAGCUGAGUGAAGUGCUCAGCUUCUAGCUGUCUCACAGUGAGACAAUCA
rnacentral:rRNA from 1 species